AAGGAAYACAUCUUMGGACAACUAMGAUGAUAAUGAAUUCUGGAUAAUAUCUCUGYUYAAUUUUGAGAGACUAUCUCUYAAAAUUGUUCUUUGAAAAUUGCACAUAAUUUAAUUUAUAGAAACAACAAGCCAAAUUGGCAAAACCAAUUUCUAUUCUUUGUAAAAUGAGAACUAUAACUAAUAUA
rnacentral:misc_RNA from 1 species